rnacentral:lncRNA from 1 species
UUAGCAAGAAGAGUUGUGCAGAUGCCUUGCUCCCUCUGCCCUCAGGGUCAGGUGUCUUCCUGCGCAGCGAUCUGUCUUGGACAGGAGGACUUGAGGGGGAGACCGGCAGACAGUCUGUUCUGUGCCGUGCUCGAGGGCCAGCAGCAGGCUUGGACAAACCGCUUUACCUGACCCACUGUUGGUCCACCACUGGAAAGGAUGCAUAGUACAUAUCUAAGACUGAUGUGCUGAACCAAAGGAACAUAAUUAAAUCGCAUAUAUUAGUCACAGGUAUGUUAAGUUACUUGUGUCAGACUUUUUAUAAAACUUAUUUUAUUAAUGAAAUCUUUCAUUGUCAUAAUACCUUUAUAUAUUUUCUGUCUUUCCAAUUCUAUUUGAAUUUUCUCAAUGUAAA